UAUUAUUCCGAGAUAAAUUUAUCCCUAGGUUAGUAGUAGAUAUCUACUUAAAAGCUAAAAGAUUUGGCGGUAAUUUAAUCUUUUCAGAGGAACUUGUUUUUUAAUCGAUAAGCCGCGAAAUAUCUUGCUUAUUCUUGUGAUAGUUUGUAUACCAUCAUUAUCAGAUAAUUUUUAAAAAAUGAAUUAUUGGGGUUAAGAGAAGUUAAAAAAAUUAGAUCAUGGUGCAGCUAAUGGAUAAGUUAAAAUGAGUUACAAUAAAUUUUUUUAUACGAAUAAGUGAAAGAAUUUUCAUUUAGAAGGAGGAUUUGAUUGUAUCUGAAGUUUAAUAUGCUUAGGAGAAGGUAGCUCUAAAUUAUGUACAUAU
rnacentral:rRNA from 1 species